rnacentral:rRNA from 1 species
CACGUAGGGCGCAAGCGUUGUCCGGAAUUAUUGGGCGUAAAGAGCUCGUAGGCGGUCUGUUGCGUCCGCUGUGAAAACCCGGGGCUUAACCCCUGGCUUGCAGUGGAUACGGACAGACUAGAGGUAGGUAGGGGAGAAUGGAAUUCCCGGUGUAGCGGUGAAAUGCGCAGAUAUCAGGAGGAACACCGGUGGCGAAGGCGGUUCUCUGGGCAUUACCUGACGCUGAGGAGCGAAAGUGUGGGGAGCGAACAGG